rnacentral:rRNA from 1 species
AGUGAACGCUGGCGGUAGGCCUAACACAUGCAAGUCGAACGGCAGCACAGUAAGAGCUUGCUCUUACGGGUGGCGAGUGGCGGACGGGUGAGGAAUACAUCGGAAUCUACUUUUUCGUGGGGGAUAACGUAGGGAAACUUACGCUAAUACCGCAUACGACCUACGGGUGGAAGCAGGGGAUCUUCGGACCUUGCGCGAUUGAAUGAGCCGAUGUCGGAUUAGCUAGUUGGCGGGGUAAAGGCCCACCAAGGCGACGAUCCGUAGCUGGUCUGAGAGGAUGAUCAGCCACACUGGAACUGAGACACGGUCCAGACUCCUACGGGAGGCAGCAGUGGGGAAUAUUGGACAAUGGGCGCAAGCCUGAUCCAACCAUACCGCGUGGGUGAAGAAGGCCUUCGGGUUGUAAAGCCCUUUUGUUGGGAAAGAAAAGCAGCAGGUUAAUACCCCGCUGUUCUGACGGUACCCAAAGAAUAAGCACCGGCUAACUUCGUG